rnacentral:rRNA from 1 species
GGUUGGCUAGAGUAUGGGAGAGGAUGGUAGAAUUCCAGGUGUAGCGGUGAAAUGCGUAGAGAUCUGGAGGAAUACCGAUGGCGAAGGCAGCCAUCUGGCCUAAUACUGACACUGAGGUGCGAAAGCAUGGGGAGCAAACAGGAUUAGAUACCCUGGUAGUCCAUGCCGUAAACGAUGUCUACUAGCCGUUGGGGCCUUUGAGGCUUUAGUGGCGCAGCUAACGCGAUAAGUAGACCGCCUGGGGAGUACGGUCGCAAGACUAAAACUCAAAUGAAUUGACGGGGGCCCGCACAAGCGGUGGAGCAUGUGGUUUAAUUCGAUGCAACGCGAAGAACCUUACCUGGUCUUGACAUAGUAAGAACUUUCCAGAGAUGGAUUGGUGCCUUCGGGAACUUACAUACAGGUGCUGCAUGGCUGUCGUCAGCUCGUGUCGUGAGAUGUUGGGUUAAGUCCCGCAACGAGCGCAACCCUUUUCCUUAUUUGCCAGCGGGUUAAGCCGGGAACUUUAAGGAUACUGCCAGUGACAAACUGGAGGAAGGCGGGGACGACGUCAAGUCAUCAUGGCCCUUACGACCAGGGCUACACACGUGCUACAAUGGUCGGUACAAAGGGUUGCUACCUCGCGAGAGGAUGCUAAUCUCAAAAAGCCGAUCGUAGUCCGGAUCGCAGUCUGCAACUCGACUGCGUGAAGUCGGAAUCGCUAGUAAUCGCGGAUCAGAAUGCCGCGGUGAAUACGUUCCCGGGCCU